AUUCUGGCGUUGAUAAAGAAUAGUACCUAUAAAAUGAUUUCCAAGAGAGCUUGUGGCCGGUGUGAACAAGUAAUCAUUUUUUAGGGAAUGGACUUUUGAGCCUUAUUUGUGAAAUGCGCUUGCAGAUUAGCGAAUAACGGGCUUGUCCCACGUUACAGGGGCUUCAUGCAAACUGCAUGGACUAAGCUGACUCAUCAUAAUGAGUACUUAGGGUGGCACCGCGGAUAUCAUCCCAUUCGUCCCUAUA
rnacentral:ncRNA from 1 species